rnacentral:lncRNA from 1 species
CGACACUGUUGUUAAAAAUAGUUAAUAUUUUUAAGCACUUAUGUUUCAGGCACUGUGCUUUGAAUUCACUGGAUUUCCAUAGUAGUCUUCUACAGGUAGGGACUAUUAUCCUCCGUUUUAUAGAUUAAAAAUUGGAGGUACAGAAAAAUUAAAUAAUUUGUGCAGCAAGCGAAUGGUGAAGCUAGCAUUGAAACCCAGACAAGCUGACUCUAAACUGAUGUUCUUAAUUAUUGGCAGUACAGUAAUGCCUCUUGCUGAUUGAGUAAAUGAAGGAGGUAGGGAGAAAUCCCAUUUUUGGUGGCAAUGGCCUUUGCUUAAAUAUUGUGUCAUCUCAUGUUAUUUAAUUUGGAGCUAGAGGGACCUAAAGGCCACAUAACCUCUCUGCCCACCUGCUCAAUACAAGACAGUGAUGUACAGCAUCCUGGAUAGUUAUCCAGCUUCUCUUUGAACACUACCCAAGACAAAAGUUGACUUCCACUUGAGGACCUUAUUAAAGACCGGACACUUCUUUUUGCUAGGAAGUUUAGUCUUGUCUUAGUAAAUCUGUCUCCGGUGCCUUCUA